AAAAUUGAAUAGAUGGACCAGUGAACAGACUGAAAUACAAUUGAUAUUACAUCGUUUCCCCCUAGAAGUCAAACUAUAAAGCACUUCAGAGUCUGCAAAGUACAACAUAUUGAUUUGACAGUUCCAUAUAUUAUUCAAUGCUCACCAUGGACCAAGGAAAAGAGCAGAUUUUAUCUGAUACAUGCUGACCUCAUGAGCUAUGCCAGACCAUGUAAUGACACUCAAAACUCUGUUGAAGUAGCCACUGUCAUAUGUCACAUGCCGGUGGAGUGAGAUUCCUCAUCCUUCUUUAAUUUCUUCUAUCUGGUGGGAGACUUCAUGGAAUGGAUCUGCCAAAAAUCAUUGUACAACUCCUAAGAGGGGAGAGCUUCACAACUUGAUUUGCAGUUUAAUUUCUGUAAAUACAGCUAAACCUUGCAGACAUGAUUGCAAUGCAGCUAGCUGUGACAAUUAAAAAUGUAUUAUUAA